AUUAAGCUAAUAAAAAUAAAAAUGAAAAAGGAUUAAGGUUUAGAAACUGGCUAAUUCACGUUCAGACUUCCUUCCACCUUCUUCUAUCUCAAUUGAUUCCCAUGGCUCCCUCUCAAAAUCAUUCUUUCUCGCGAAUCUCCUCACAACUUCAUAUUCUCUCAACCGAACAACAAAUGGCGUAGAAACGAUUACUGCGCGGCUUGAAUUGCUUCUGCGAUGCGUUCGUGUUCAGAUCGAAAAUUACAAAUGGUGAAGUGGGUGAGAUUCAAGGCGGCUGGCGCGGCGUUGAUCGGAGUUGAACGGCGGCGCGGCCUGUCUGGUUUGGAUCUGGCCGAAUGUGCUUCUUGUUCGUCGUCGGCUGCGGUCUCGAUCUUAGUCUCUGAUCUUUCUCCCUUCUUCCUGCAAAAGAAGACAAACAAUGUGUUAUUGUGAUUUACGAUCCAUUUGAAUCGAUGCUUCAGUUGUGCUAAGCGAUGCCGUCAGUGAGGUUGCGAGCGAAUCAGUGUUGGCGAUUGGCCUCGUUCCGUCGGGGAGGAUGGUUGUGCGAGUUUGGAGGAUCAUCAGCACAGUAGUAGUUACGGAUCAGCGUUUUUCUCUUUGAAUCUGUUUAUGCCGCUAAGCUCUGUUGUUGUUGAUUUUAAAGCUUUGAUUGUUGUUACACCUGAAAACAAAACAAAUAGAAAAUUGUAAUUGAUUUUUGAUGUCAAUUGUAUAGUUGAUUUUGUUAAUUUUGCAGUAGAAAGUUUGUUAGUAAAUCUUUAUGUUUGUAUUCAUUGCUGUUAGUUGUAUGUUGAGAUAAGUGAUGAAGGUGGUUUGUAAUGAUAUUGACAAUGAUGGAAUUUGUGGGAAGAUCUAAGAAUGUGAAUAUAUGAGUUAGAAAAAAUAUAAUUAAAAAAAAAACACA